AAUAAGAGCUUAGAAGAUGCACUUCUCCAAAAAUAAAUAAAAAGUCAAGCAAAUGAAUAUCAAUCUUCACUAAUUUCUUUUUCAUUAAACAAAAAACAGCAGCACCACAUACAUACUUAUCAAAAGCAUUGUUAUCAUUUUAUUUUUCACUAAUUAAUGCAAUAAUAUGUUUUUUCCUUUCAGGAUACAUAAAGAUACAAACAAAAAUGAGAAGAAAACAAGAAACAGAGAUACAUACAGAUACAAAUAAAUAUGAGGAGGAAAAAAAGAAAGAAAGUUUGAUUUAGGAGCUUAGACAAAGAAGCAAACCUCUCAUACAAAGAUGUAAAAAGAAAAGAAAGAAAGUAUGUUUCUGGCACAGUGAUACAAUUUCUAGCACGAUUCCGAUUCGGUGGUUACAUUUUCCGGCGCGGUGGCUACAUUUUCCGGCGCGGUGGCUAUUGGCAAAUGUAUUCCGAUCUUAAUUUUUCGUUCUGGAUUUUGUGGAUGAGAAGGAGGAGAGCCUUUUUAUAGUGAUGAUUUUUUAAAUGGUGGUGUGUGGUGAUCAAAAUCUAGAUCUAAACAAAUUGAAAGCACCACUCUAACAACAACAAAAAAGCAAAACAAAAGAGAAAGAUAAAGAAGAAGGUUGAAUAGGAAGAUAGAGGAUGAGAUUUGAUGGUAGCAAAAUCAAGUUGGAGGCAUUGGAUUUGGUGGCCGGCGGCUAGGGUUUGUUUGUGGAAAACAACUUCUCAAAACUUCUUUCUUGAAGAGAGAGAAAGAAAUUAACAAAUGCUAUGGAUUUGUGAAAUAAAAAAUACGUUAGAGAAAAUAGAAUGAAUCCUAUGGACUUCAAAUAAAAUUAAAUCUAGCCUAUGGACUCCAAAACAAAA